rnacentral:rRNA from 1 species
CCUACGGGGGGCUGCAGUAGGGAAUAUUGCUCAAUGGGGGAAACCCUGAAGCAGCAACGCCGCGUGGAGGAUGAAGGUUUUCGGAUUGUAAACUCCUUUUGUUAGAGAAGAUAAUGACGGUAUCUAACGAAUCAGCACCGGCUAACUCCGUGCCAGCAGCCGCGGUAUUACGGAGGGUGCAAGCGUUACUCGGAAUCACUGGGCGUAAAGAGCGCGUAGGCGGGAUAGCAAGUCAGAUGUGAAAUCCUAGGGCUUAACCAUAGAACUGCAUUUGAUACUGUUAUUCUAGAGUAUGGGAGAGGUAGGUAGAAUUCUAGGUGUAGGGGUGAAAUCCGUAGAGAUCAAGAGGAAUACUCGUUGCGAAGGCGACCUGCUAGACCAUAACUGACGCUGAUGCGCGAAAGCGUGGGGAGCAAACAGGAUUAGAUACCCGAGUAGUC